rnacentral:rRNA from 1 species
GAGUUUGAUCCUGGCUCAGAACGAACGUUAGCGGCGCGCCUAACACAUGCAAGUCGCACGAGAAAGGGCUUCGGCCCCGGUACAGUGGCGCACGGGUGAGUAACACGUGGGUAAUCUGCCUUCGAGUGGGGGAUAACAUUCCGAAAGGAGUGCUAAUACCGCAUAAGACCACGCCCUCGAAAGAGGAAGCGGUCAAAGCUGGCCUCUAUACAUAAGCUAGCGCUUGAGAAUGAGCCCGCGGAGCAUCAGCUAGUUGGUGAGGUAAUGGCUCACCAAGGCUUAGACGCUUAGCUGGUCUGAGAGGAUGAUCAGCCACACUGGAACUGAGACACGGUCCAGACUCCUACGGGAGGCAGCAGUGGGGAAUCUUGCGCAAUGGGCGAAAGCCUGACGCAGCGACGCCGCGUGAGUGAUGAAGGCCUUCGGGUUGUAAAGCUCUGUGGGGAGAGAAGAAUAAGUGCGGGCUAAUACUCCGCAUGAUGACGGUAUCUCCUUAGCAAGCACCGGCUAACUCUGUGCCAGCAGCCGCGGUAAGACAGAGGGUGCAAACGUUGUUCGGAAUUACUGGGCGUAAAGCGAGUGUAGGCGG